UGUGAUAUAAAUCUAUCCUGCCCGCUGCGCAGCGCGGCUUCCUUGCUAGUAUCUUAAUAAAGGCGGGCCCUUUGAUUUCUUUCCGACUCCAUCUCCUUUCUACGUUCCAGGGUUCGCGGACGAAACAGGGGCAAACGAACCGGAGAAAGAAGCAAGAUCUCGAGGGGUGCGGAGGGGGCAUCACGGCGGACAGCAAAGGCGACGAGGAGACGAAGGGUGGCGCUACUCGGCCUAAGCUUCUCUAUUCGGCUGCUCCAAGCCUCCCAUCCGGCGGCCAUGAACCGAGUGGUGAGGCAGUUGUCGUCAUCUUUGCCACUUCUCUGGCGGUCGGAGCCGGUGGUCGGUGCGGCGGCGGCGGCGGCACAUGAGAAGCAGUGGAACAGGGGCAUCAGGGUGAGGGUGAAGGACGGAAAUCUAGAGCAAGCUUUAGCCAUCAUGCAGCGGAAGAUGAUAGCCAGUGGGAUGGAGCGGCUUAUUCGACGGCAGGUCGAUCACCACCUCAAGGACUCGGAGAAGCGCGUCCUCGCCCGCAAGAACCUCCAGUACCGCGUUCGCUCCCAGGACCUCGCUCGUAAGCUCCGCACCAUUCUCAUCAAAAAGAUCAGGCAGUCCACCUAGAAGCCCAGGCAAUGCGUAGGCAGUGAGGGGUCCCUACCAGCUAACAUCACCUAAAUGCCUUGGUGACCUUGAUGGAAAAGGAUUCAACUAUUCAAGCCAACAGUACUCAAAGCAAAUAUCUUUUUGAUCAGAGAUGUGCAAAGGCUGGUUACUAUUUACAUAAUAUAAACACAUGUCCGUAGAGGUCUCUGAGACCAGCUCUGGUGGUGGGAGAGCAAGCUUUAAGAGAACUUAUGACAUCGCCAUAAAGGAUAUAUUCUUUUCCUAGUUUCAUGUGUUUGUGCAUGUAAAUGCUGGACAUGGAAAAGUGUAUGCUUUCCUCUUUAGACCUCUGUGUAGGAUGUAAUCGUUUUAUUUGGAAUAUGUCCUUUUCUUUAUCUUUAUGAAUUUCUGAAAAUAGAUAUCAGGAAUAUCACUAUGAAAUAUAGCUAUUAGUAGGCCCUUGUGUCUGCUGAGGGCUGAUAUGGUGACACAUUUAUAUGCUGCGAGGAACCACAAUUAAGGCUGUGAUCUAAACUUCUUGAGUAAUAUGGCUUUGCAUGGGAUGACUCUGCAGCAA